GGUCCGACGCCACGUCGCCGGUAGCUAAAAAGCAGUGACCGGCGAUGCUAUGAUCGGACCCAGAGUGAGCUCUAUGUUUCGCAUUUUGAUAGGAAUCCGUGGAUCUCUCCUCUAAUGAUCCUUCGGUGCCGAUUUGUGCGAUUAUAUUU